UGGGGAAUUUUGGACAAUGGGCGCAAGCCUGAUCCAGCCAUUCCGCGUGAGUGAAGAAGGCCUUCGGGUUGUAAAGCUCUUUCGGCAGGAACGAAACGGUGGGGGCUAAUAUCCCCUGCUAAUGACGGUACCUGAAGAAGAAGCACCGGCUAACUACGUGCCAGCAGCCGCGGUAAUACGUAGGGUGCGAGCGUUAAUCGGAAUUAUUGGGCGUAAAGCGUGCGCAGGCGGCCACAUAAGACAGAUGUGAAAUCCCCGGGCUUAACCUGGGAACUGCGUUUGUGACUGUGUGGCUGGAGUGUAGCAGAGGGGGGUGGAAUUCCACGUGUAGCAGUGAAAUGCGUAGAUAUGUGGAGGAACAUCGAUGGCGAAGGCAGCCCCCUGGGUUAACACUGACGCUCAUGCACGAAAGCGUGGGGAGCAAACAGG
rnacentral:rRNA from 1 species